rnacentral:rRNA from 1 species
GAUGAACGCUAGCGGCAGGUCUAAUACAUGCAAGUCGAACGGUGUCUUCGGACAUAGUGGCGCACGGGUGCGUAACACGUAUGCAACCUACCUUACAUUGGGGGAUAGCCUUUCGAAAGGGAGAUUAAUACCGCAUAAGACAGUAGCUGGGCAUCCAGCAGCUGUUAAAGACUUAUCGAUGUAAGCUGGGCAUGCGUCCAAUUAGCUAGUUGGUGAGGUAACGGCUCACCAAGGCAAUGAUUGGUAGGGGAACUGAGAGGUCAAUCCCCCACACUGGCACUGGGAUACGGGCCAGACUCCUAUGGGAGGCAGCAGUAGGGAAUAUUGGGCAAUGGACGCAAGUCUGACCCAGCCAUGCCGCGUGCAGGAUGAAGGCGUUAUGCGUUGUAAACUGCUUUUAUACAGGAAGAAACGACUCUUGCGAGAGGCAUUGACGGUACUGUAUGAAUAAGCACCGGCUAACUCCGUGCCAGCAGCCGCCGUAAGAC